CAAUAUUGCAUUGAAACACUGGUUCUCCUAUGAUCACCGAAGUUAAGCAACUUCAAGCCUGGUCAGUACAUAAAUGGAUGACUGCUUGGGAAUACCAGGUGUU